GAUAUCGAGAAUAAUUUUUUUUUCCUGUUGCAUAAACAGAGCGCUCCAAGGACAGACCCAAGUAUCCCAGAACCGAUGGCUCUUUCUCUGACUCCAGAGGAUUUGAAACAGGAAAGUUGAACGGUAGGAUGACAGCCGUAAACAACAGAUUUGAUCAAAGCUGGACUCCAUCGUAGAGAGACCUGGAAAAUGCACAGAGAAGCAGAUUGAUGAUACGAUUUAUUUACAACUGCAUGCCUUCUUGUCUCCCAACUGAUAAGAAUUUGCUUUGAUCUACUCUGCAAGUUUUCUGUACUCUUUAGUUGGUAUCAGUUGAGGCCGCUCUGGGAGACUCCGACGCAGGACAACAAUCAAAAUGUGAAGUCCUGAAUCCCUCUUCACCGUUCUCAUUACGUGAGACGGGACCAAGCUGAAACUUUUGUCUAGCCAAGUAGGCAGCGUCACUUCGUGCGACAGACUACAGAUAAUAGGUGCACAGGUUGGAGGAAGAGUGAGAGCAAAUACGGUACAUUCUCAUUAUCAGACUGACAUACAGCCAUCAUUUCCUUUGCUGAGGUACUGUAGAGAUAGAAAGCUCAUUUGAUCAUCCUGGAGCUUUAUGGUUCUUUAAUGACUUUCUUUCAAGGAACUCCAAGCACCUCCAGAAAAACCGUCUCAUAUAACACCCAGGUGACAUAGAUCAGACUUAUUACCAUUGUCUUCCAGAUGUGUUAGGCAAGGAAGACACGGGUGAAGUAAUCUUUCCAAGGUAACAGUGGAUCAGUUGGAAAGCCAGGAAUAAAAUGCAAGAAUCCAGAAACCUAAUUUUCUGAUCUAAACUCCCCUUCUGCUGCUGACCCUGACAGCUACGGAAGACUAUCCAUCUGACAUUUUUUUAGUUCAGAAUAUUUGUCGGUUUUGGUUGACAGGUUUUUCCUUGUCUGCUAGAAAAUGUUGCCUAAUGGGACGGUGCUGGGUGCACAGUCAUCAGAUCUGAAUAGAACAUCUUUAUACAGCCAUUAAAAUGGGUAUUAAUACUGAUUACUCUCAUGCAAUGUACUGAGGCAGUGUUAAUUCACAAAAGAAGAGAGAGAGAAUAUUGGGGCAGAUGUGCUCUUUUCAUUCUGGACCUUAAAUCUCAGCCUAGCGUAAUCCAGAGGAAGCAGAAGAGAAUUUUCCAUGUUGAGAGGAUGACCAGCGUGUGUUUUCUAAAACAAUCAAAGCUUUUGUUUUAUUUGGGCAAGCCAUAUGGAAAGACCACGGCUUCUUCCAAAGCCUCAACACCUACCAGUCCAAUUAGAGCCGUGUCAAUCUUUGUGAGAGGCCAUAUGGAGGAGUUAUUUUCUGCAGAAUGCUAAUGAAGAGCAUUUGCUGAGAUAGUAGGCAUGUGAUUUCUCUUAUCUAGGAAAUAGCUUUAAAUGAGGGUGGAUAGUUCAAACUAGUCAUUCCACUUGACAGGUACACACACAUUAAUAAAGCAGGGUGAAUGCUCUAACAGUUCAAACUGAGCCUUUCAAAAUAAGGGUUGAUUUGAUGACCACUGGGGGGGAAAAAGGCCCUUUAAAAUCCCAAAAUCAGGCAAGCCAAAAUCAUUAGUCACUUUUGAAAACCUUUGCCUAAUGGUUUUUAACCCAGUUCUCGUGCUAUCAUCUGGAAGUACUGUAGCUACAGAAUGAGUAGCAUUUAUUCAGGCUUUCAAAAGAAAGCAGAAACCUAAACUGUAUAAAUCAGAGCAGAUAUUGUUUUCUGGAGUUGUUAAAACAUCUGGACUGUUUGUUUGGGGUUUUUUUAAUCAAAAGCCCCUCUGUGAACAUGACUACACCUAUUUCAUUCCUGGGCAUCAAAACCUGUUCCCGCAUAUACCAUAUGUUUAAGCCAAAACUUUUCAAACUUGAGUACCUACACUGCAUUAAAUAAAAGUUUCCAGGUUUUUUUUCCCAGAGAUAUUGAGAACUCCUAGAUCCCAACAAAUAGUAAGCAAAGAGAGCUUCUGCCUUAAAUAUCUCACAAUCUAAUUUGAUUCCAAGUAUCCUGUGCAAGUGUCAGAGCAUUUUCUAUGUUGAAAGGAUUUACUGAUGUGCUUGCUAAAAAAUAUUAAGCUUGAAAAGUCUUUUUUUACUUUAAUUGUUUUGGCGUUUUUUAUGUGCCAAAAAAAUCAAACAUAACCCCCAUCCUACAUGAUAUAUGACAUGGACUACCGCUCUGUAGAAGAAAAGUGGAAGGAAUAAGUUGCAACGUACAAGUCAGAUCACAAGAUCUAGCAGUUCUGUUCCAGCUCCAUGGCCAACGCAUGGUCAGUCUCUCUUGCAACACGAGAGAGACUGGAAGUCCCAACUCAUGGGUCACCUUUUUGGGGAGAUUUUGCCAAGGCCCGGUAGAGCUCCCUCAUAGUCAGCUCAAUUUCCUCUCUCCUGAAUUCAUUAUAUAAUUCAUAAGGUGCAUAUUCCAUUAGGCCAGUGGUUCUCAAACUUUUUUUUUUCGCAGACCAUUUGAAAAUUGCUGAGGGUCUCGGCGGACCACUUAAUAAAAUUUUUUGUUCUACAAAUCAAAGCACACAACUUGUAUUUAAAUUAAUUUGUAUUUAAAUAUCAGUUGUCUUACCUUUCUAAUGCGACAGAUGUGCCUGGUUUUUUUAGCAAAGUUCUGGGAAGUUGGGUGUAAUGUUUGUCAGCUUUAGCCUUUUUCUGCGGACCACCCAAAAGGAGCUCACGGACCAGUGGUGGCCCGCAGACCACAGUUUGAGAACCUCUGCAUUAGACCAUUUUAACUAUUCCUUGUACCACUACCUAACAUAAAAUAUCGUUAGCCACCAUUCCUGAGAGCAUACUCCAGGGAUUUAUAUCUGUACUUUCGGCUCGUGAGCAUAGCCUGGGAAUAAACAAAUAUUUUCUAUAGUUAAAGCCUGAUGCAUUGAGUAAUUUGAUGAAUAGCAUCACCUCUCUCUAAUGCUCAGUUUACUUUGACAUUUUCAUGCAGUGAUCUUUAGGGGGAGCUCUGAUAUCUCUGUCCCACAUCAGGAAGACCACUAAA